AGAGGAGGAACCCACUUUUACCGGAGGCUCCAUAUUCUACGGCCCAGGGAUUUCCAGGAAAAUCAAACCUGCUUGGCUGGCGUCCCAGGAAAAGAAGUGGGCAGAGGCUUUGCGACCCUCACUCACUCGGCAACAAUCAAGGAAUCUCCAAGGGACCCAGUUCCCAUCCCCCUGGAGACAGUGCCAGGGGCGAUGUGUCUGCAGCCCACCUCUCCCUCCAUGAAGACAGGCUGCCAUUGUUGUCACCGAAGCCAUGACUCCAAUGGGGAAGUGAUCUGCACUUUUACUCAGCCUGAGAGAGAAGUUGCCCCAAUUACUUCAGCAUGGCUUCCAAGAGGAGACCUUGGCUAUGACUCUCAUGAGCACCAAGUCCAGCGCGGGCUCUAUCUUCUGCAUCUUUCAUGCAUUUUCAGAGUCUAAAUGCUGCGCCAAGUGGCCAGCACUUCCCAACCAAGAGGGUGAAAGGGAUCCAUGACCACCAGGUUGGUACUGAAGGCACCUCAGUCUCCUGGGUCCAUCCUGAUCUACCCUGGGGACUCCCAUCAGCUUAUUGUCUAGGACCAUUUUCAGUGCAAAACCCAAGUACAAGCACCAGCCCCGACUUUUGUUUUACAGAGACCAUCAUAAUUAUAUUUGCUUCAAUAGGCAUCCUUCAUUGAGCCCUUACUACAUGCCAAAAACUUCACAUGCAUGAUUUCAUCUCAUGUUCAUAACCACCUUAAGAGGGGAGUAUUAUUAUUUUCCCCAGUUCGUAGAUUAGGGAAACUGAGUCCAAGCAAGGAUAAAUUACUUGCCAGAGGUCAAACAUCUAAGAAGUGGUGGAGUCUGGAUUUGAACUUGGUUCUCUCUGACAUUAAGGUCAAUGCUUUGCUCUGCUGCCCCUGUGAUGCUGCUUGCUGGUGCCCUGUCCUCCAGUGGGACGAAAGUGAAUGUGACUAUGGGGCAGCCCUCAGCUCCUCCAUUUCAGAACCUGUAGAAGUGGAGUGGCCCUGGGGCUGUCCUUUAGGGAGGGACAGGUCUCUGUGGCUAGUGUUUCUCUGGGCCCAGCCUACAUGAUUCCCACGCAGCUUCCUCAAUCAGACGCUCCUAGGCCUCUUCUCUUCAGUCUUCAAAUGGUAAUAAAUCAAUCCCCCGUGGAUCCUGUUUCCCUUGAAUUCCAAGCACAUAUGUCGAAAAGGAAUCGCAAAUGAAGGAUGAGCUCUGUGGACUCUGGCAGCGUCUGUGUAUGUGAGAGGCUCAGAAAACGAUGUCUUUGGGUAUGUGGGGUCGUUUUACAUACAUGUAAAUUUGAACGUACUGCCUGGAUGCUUAUACCUACUAACUCUCACCUUUUGUGAACCUGAAAGAUUGAAAUAAAGAAAAGAAAACCAGAGAAUGGAUUAACACUUGAUUUGAUUUAUUCCUUAGUAAAAUCUAUGUGAAGAUCCAAAAAAUGAGCUUGAUCUUAAAAUCAGCAUCCAUAUCCUUCCAUCUGAUAGAUCCCAAAGUUUCCAACCUUCCACCUCUUGGCUUAAUUUUUCUGAUGUCUGUUCUAAGUUUGG
rnacentral:lncRNA from 1 species